GGGGCUGUAGCUCAGCUGGGAGAGCGCCUGCUUUGCAAGCAGGAUGUCGCAGGUUCGAUCCCUGUCAGCUCCA
rnacentral:tRNA from 1 species